rnacentral:lncRNA from 1 species
GAGAGAGAGAUUUAGGCUCUAUAAUAUUUAUAGUAUCGGGGCUCCGAUCAAUACUAUCGUCUUAUUUUCAAUUUUAGAAUAUUCAGAUUAACAAUUCAUAUCGUUAAAAAUGAUUUAAAAUAUUUAAUAUUUUUAGAAAUAAAAUUUUAUAUUUUUUUUCGACCUAAUUUACUUUAUAAUCAUGCCACUCAUAAUUGUCAAUUUUCAAUGAUUUAUGUGGUGAGUUUGUAGUUUAACACUGUAAAAAAAUCUAAAUUUAUUCAAAUUUUAAUAGAAAAUAUUUUAAACUAUCUAGAUCAAGGUCAACAUCCUUAAUCUUGAAUUUAAAAUUUUUAUCUUCAAAUUUUAAAGAUGUUCAAUUUUUACUGUUCAUUUUGACAUGAUUUACUUACUAAAUAAACAAUAUUGAAAAAAAUUAAAAUUUUAUAUUUAAGAACUUUAUAUACCCUAAAUCAUAUUUAAUGGUGUGAAUCAUUGAUUUGAACACAUUAAGAUCGAAAAUAAGACUAUACAUCAUAGCUUCAGUAUUAUAGAUAGUGCAGUAAACUCGUUCUAUAUAUAUAUAGAGAGGGGGGGUUCGGCUAUGGUGCUUUUAGAAGCACCAAGUACUUGUUGCUCAUAAGUUUUCCUCGUUUAAUCUAUUUUUUUUUGACCAAUUCCACCUUUUAGAUCAUCCUAUUUUACUAACAUCCGCUCAACCCUAGAGAACCACUAUUAUUCUAACCCUAUAAAUUUUUAUUAAGGUGCUGAAAAUUCAAAGCACCAAUAACUUAAUACUUUAAAAGCAUAAAAAGUCAAUUAUAUAUAUACACGUGAACCUAUCAACAUGUUACAUAUAUCU